rnacentral:ncRNA from 2 species
AUCGAAUGAAGAGGUUGCGACAAUCAUGAGUCGCCAGGUCGAGAACGUACAGGUUCUGUAACGCUUGGUUAAAGGGUGCGUCGCCGAAAUGAGUUACUGCUGUAUCAGUAUCUUGUUGGGACGUUGAUGAAUAAUCAACGAACUGUCGUGGUAAAUAAAAACGCCACGGAGCGCUAUCUAACGA